rnacentral:lncRNA from 1 species
CUCCUCUGGUGGUCCAGGCAGCAGCAUCUCUCUUUGGCACUGACCUGGCAACGUUCUCCAGGACAGGUAGAAAUGUGAAGGAAAGAGGAACCCGCGCGACAGAACCCUGUGGACCCUGUGUCUCGGUCAGCUCAGGCUGCCGUAACGAAGCACCAUCAACCGCAGGGAUUUAUGUCUCACGCUUCUGGAGGCUGACAGUCCAAGGUCAGGGUAUCAGCCUGGUCGAGUUCUGCUCAUUACCUACUGCUUCCUGCUAUGAAACAAAAAUAUGAGGAUUUAGCUCUGAGACCAGCGCUGCUCACACUUUCGCCCUCCCGCUGCAUCCCGGUAGAGUUUUACCAAGACUUCAUAGACAUAAGAAACUUGCCGUGUUUAUACCACCAGAAUCCGGUAAAAGC